GGGACGACGUCAAGUCAUCAUGGCCCUUACGUGUAGGGCUACACACGUGCUACAAUGGCGCAUACAGAGUGCUGCGAACCUGCGAGGGUAAGCGAAUCACUUAAAGUGCGUCGUAGUCCGGAUUGGAGUCUGCAACUCGACUCCAUGAAGUCGGAAUCGCUAGUAAUCGCAUAUCAGAAUGAUGCGGUGAAUACGUUCCCGGGCCUUGUACACACCGCCCGUCACACCAUGGGAGUGGGUUGCUCCAGAAGUGGAUAGUCUAACCUUCGGGAGGACGUUCACCACGGAGUGAUUCAUGACUGGGGUGAAGUCGUAACAAGGUAGCCCUAGGGGAACCUGGGGCUGGAUCACCUCCUUAUACGA
rnacentral:rRNA from 1 species